AUUCAGCUGAUGAGUCCCAAAUAGGACGAAACGUGCAUCCUGGAU
rnacentral:hammerhead_ribozyme from 1 species